CCGACUCUCUUCUUUUGUAAUUUAAACACCCUGAUCUUUCCUAACCAACUCCAGUAGAAGAAGUUUUUGUAUGGUGAAAGAAAAAGUGAACGUUACUCGUCCUCCGUUUUGGAUUAAGGAGCGUAAAGAGUACGAGCGGAGCUUGCAGCAGUAAGCUGGGGAGAGCUUACGGCAGGCUUGUAGCGCGCCAAAAGUUAGUAUUUUGCUAGUAUAAUAUGUAUAUCACGGGGCUGCUGGUGUUGUUUGCUUUACAAAUUUCCAUGUCCAUUUUCUUGUCGUUCUUUUGUGGAUACCGCCAUGUUUUUGAUGUGUAUAGUGGCUGUUUAUUUGGCAACAAAUGAUAUGCUUGGAUGAAGUAUGUAAAGUCUUUAAGGUCGGUUUAGGUUCGGUGUGCACAGAUCCUCGUAUGGAACUUACAUUUCUUGGAAUGUUAAUGCAUUAGCAUGCUUUAAUAUAUAUAAAUUAAUUUCCA